UUUUCCACGGGGAGCUCGUGCGGCGGGCUGAGAGGGAGUCAUCCAACUCCGACCCUUUGACCUGAUUUGGGUAAUGCCAACGUAGGGAUGUGAG
rnacentral:ncRNA from 1 species